GGGAAACGAGAGGAGGGCCAGCCUCAGGUCCCGCAACAAACUGGGGCA
rfam:Papio anubis isolate 1X1155 chromosome 2, whole genome shotgun sequence.